CCCUGAACUGGUUGCCAGCCAAUCGCAGAGCACAUAGAGACAAACAGCCGCACUCACAAUCACGCCUACGGGCAAUUUGGAGUGUCCAAAUUAAUGUUGCGUGUUUUUGGAAUGUGGGAGGAAACCCACGCGGGAACGGGGGAGAACAUGCAAACUACACAGGUGAGUCCAACCCAAGAUUGGACCCAGGACAUCAGAACUGUGAGACCCAACGCUUUACUAGCUGCUCCACCGUGCCGCCCGUGUGGGCAUCAUUUUCAGACAAUUUGCUGCAUCAAUUGUAUAACAGUUGCUUUUUACGAAUCACAGAACGAACUAAAAUAUUGCUAAUUGGGCGAACAUUUCUUGUAUCCGUUCUGUGCCGGCCAUUGCCGCCAUUUUGUGUCGGGGGCACUACGAUACUCUAUGAAAAAUAACGGGCAAGAGGAAGGGAAGGAAAGGACCCAGAGAAUUUUCUACAACUUCGAGUGGAAAGCUGUCGCUCCUUCGGAUAAAUCUGCAAGGACAACGAUACUUGUCAAGAAAAGAAACUUGCAAGCCAAGAAGUCAAGGGCGGCGGCCAGCAUCUCGAUGCACUUGUCUCGGACGGAGUCGCCGGUGGUCAGGUGUGGCGGCAGCGGGUCUCCGGCGGCUGUGAAACCAGAACACUCCCCCGGUCUCACGUAACACCGCGGCACUUGUCCGCUCAGAACUUUUAAUUGCAUCGAUUCCCGUUGGAGAGAAGCCAAGACGAAAGCGGGUAAACACGGACCAGAGAGAGCCCACGGUGGUAAUCCCCACACAAAAGGCCGACGUCACGCGCAAUGGCAGACGCGGCGGCUUCGCGCCAGUAAUUUCCUCUUUUUAAAACGAGAGGCAAUCGCGCUCGUACCGGUCCACGCGGCGCGUAAGUGCGCCCGUAAAAUGUUUACGAGAGAGUGAAGUUCAUCUCGGGAUUGACCGCUGUUAGCUUUAUAAACCGCACGCACAAAAAACACUUGGACGCGCGCGUCAUAAUGUUUCCCCUCAAAAAGGUGCGCGCGCAUCCGGGACGACGGGGCUUUUUCGGUCCCCCAUAAUCCUCACAUCGCCAUGGCGACAGCAUCCCUCCGUGUCACUCGUCACGGUGGGGGACUAUAAAUAGCCCGGCUGAUUGGCAGCUGCGCAUCCUGGGAAAGAAAAGACGCGUUUCGCCUGAAUGUGAAACACUCGCCGAAAGCGCAAAGAGGCCAGAUAAAUAUUAAUCCGCUUGACAUUAUCGGGUUUCUCCACGCUCCCAUGGCCGGAGUGACUCACGCGUGUACACAACAUGAGCGAUUUGGUAGUUAGCAUUUAUUAUCGGAUCAUAUAUCUUAUUUAUAGACUGGGCUGACGUUAACAUUUCGGAUUUUUUAUUUUUUUUUCUUCAUAAUAAUCUGAAAAGGUUUACCGUCGUGCGAUUUUGAAACAAAGGCUUGGAAUUGGCUUCAGGCGACCUAAUAAUAAAAUGUACGCAAUGUAAAAUUUUUGCCUUAAGGGUUAUUAGAAAUGUCAUCAUUACUUUAGAAGUCUAUGAAGUACCGAUUGCGGUAAGCAAAUAAAUGCGUUUACUCAA